UUAUUUGUUGGGCCCGUUUAGGACCGUAUAGGACCGCUUGAACCGGCCCACUUCUGAGCCGGUCCCGGUCUCGCGGGCCUCCCCUAUGAGACCGGCCCACCACCCCACGGUCCCGGUCCUAUCCGGUUAGGACCGUUUAGGCCCACCGCCCAUGUGGGCUUGCGGUCCUGGGCCGGUCCCGGUCCUAACCGGCCCACAUGCCACCCCUAUUUGAAAGUGUCAUUUGCAAUGCAGCUAGCAUUAAGCCUUUGUUUGAUGUAUCCAUUAUUGAUUUUAGCUCUUGUUUUUUCCUGCUAAAUAUGUAUUUUCAGAUCCUUUUCCCACGACAGUUGAGUUUUCAACUUGUCUUCUUUAAUCCCACAAGUAGAUAGUUGAUUAACUUUCUUCUUUUCUCUAGUUUGUGGAUUUUAAGGUUGCAUGCCUUUAAAUAUUAAGCUGCAAUUACCGUUGUCUUUGAUUUAUUGCUUUGUCAAGUGACGUUUUUCUCCUCCACUGAUUUUCUUAAUAUGUGUUUCUCUAGGAAGGAGAAAGAACUUACAGACUUAUGUCCAUUGAUUUUCUGGGUAUAGGUUGGUGUUAUUUAGCUUCGUUUUGAGGGAUAAAUUUGAUUCUUUCUAUCCACCCUAGAAGAUCUGCUUGUCCUUUAUUUUGUCUUCUGUUAUGUGUUGAUUUAUUUGACUUUUACCAGCCUCUCAAAUUAGGGUUCUUAAAUUAAACAAACACUCAAGUGUUUUGUGUUAGCUUGUUUACUAACAGCAUACUUUUUGUCAUUCUUUUUCGUAGUUUGUUAGUGUGGGUGGUAAAAGUUAUCAUGGUAUGUAAAUAAUGGACAAAGGGAUGAGAUAAGAAAUCCUCUAAAGCUCUUAAUUUACUUGGAACAACUGAAGUAGUUGGAUUUGGAUGGUUAUAGAUGAUCUACCUGGUCUGCAUCAUAUCCUUCCAUCAGCCCACUCAAAGGGAAAACGCAAAGGAAGGAUAGGAUAUCAUGUUGGGAAACGGUUGUUUAUGUGAAGUAAGGUGCUGAUGUGAAAAAUAUGCGAACUUCCAAUGAUUUUACUUCAUUUACUGGAGGUGGUUGCUUGUUCUUUUGCAAAAUAUAGUGAAUUAUUAUCUGUUAUAUUUGUUUUUAUGGUCAAAUAAAUAACGUAAAAUUAUUUGAAUCAAUCCAACAGUACCGCUGUUUGUCAAGUUCUUAGCAUAAAUUGGUAACUUCUUACUUAUGUGAACAUAGUACAACAAUAACAACCACCCAGUGUAUUCCCACAAGUGGGGUUUGGGAAGGUAGGAUGUACGCAGCCUUACCCCUACCCUUCCUUGGAAGGGCAGAGAGGUUGUUUCCGAUAAACCCUCAACUGAAGACUUAUGUGAACAUAGUAAGAUUGCUAAAUCAUUUCUCGGAAGUUACUGAGGUUAACUCAGUUUAUGGAUGAUUGCAAUUUUCACAGGUAUUGAAGAAAUGACUACUUUGGUAUGCCCUUAUGGUCUGAAUUUCAUGUCCAACGGAAAUUGGUAAAGGCCUUGAUAACUCAUUUUGCAGUGACUGCGAAAUUUGUGCUCUAUGAUGUGCUUGAGUAAUUCAAUUAUUUUCAAGAGUAUGUUACCAUAGACAAGUAAAAGAUUUUAAGGCGGUGAAAUAGAAUCUUGUGUUUUUUUUCUUUCUAUUUGCUGUCUUUUGAAUACUAGUCUUGAGGCGAAGAGUUAAUAACAAUUACGAACUAGAAGGUAGAGAUUGAUGACAAAAUUCCCAAUUUACCUUCUGUGGCUUGUAUCUCCUUUGCUUAUAGUGAAUAGUGAACCUGUGUUGGUUAUAUAAUAUUAUCUACUUAAUAUAAUCACCAGAAAGAUGAAGUGUGGGCUGAUCAUGUACACUAUAUUGCUCCACAAUAAUGAUAAUUUUGCUUAUGUCUUAUCAAGGAAGAUUGAAAUAUAAAAUCUAGUUCAAGAGUAUGGCAUAUUAGUUGGAAGCGAAAUCAUCUUCUGUCCUAAUAUAAUGUACAUUCAACAUUUUCAUGUGACUGCCUGAGAUUCUAUAAUUGUUCAAGACUAGGGUUUCUAACAUCGUCAAUUUCUUAGAGUAUUCUAUUUUUACCUAGAAUAUGUGUAACCAUAAAAGUAUGAAAAAAAUGUACUGUUGAGUACUUCAUGUGGUUAGGAGCAGGGUUGGACGAUGUAGUCGCGGUCUUUUUCUUUCUGAUGCUUCAUAAUUUAGCGCCCGUCUUAGGGAUACAUUAAUUGCUUCUGUUUGCUGGUGCUUACAGGAUUCGCUAUCUUCUUAUCGCAAGAAUGUUACGUUUCAUAAGACUCUUGAUGCACAUUGAGCGAUUUCGUUCUUUUGUUACCACAUUUUUGACCCUCAUACAUUGUCUGCUGCCAUACUUGGGGACCAUAUUCUGUAUCUUAUGCAUAUACUGCUCUCUUGGUUUACAGUUCUUUGGGGGAUUGUCAACACUGGAAACCCCAAGUUACACCAGACUGAUCUUGUUGGUUAUGACUAUUUGCUUUUUAACUUCAAUGACUAUCCAAAUGGCAUGGUGACACUUUUCAAUUUAUUGGUGAUGGGAAUCUGGUCACCGUUGAUGCAGAGCUACAAGGAUGAAGGAACUGACAGGGACUUCCUGGACUUAUGUCUACUUCUUCAGCUUCUAUCUUAUUGCCGUUUUGUGGCUAUUAAAUUUGAUUGUAGUAUUUGUCUUUGGAAGCUUUUCAAACAGAAAUGAAUCUAGAGGCUUCAACAAGAAUUGUGGAUGGUGAGGACAAGGAAGAAAGAAGAGGGCAGCGACGUCCUGUUGGUGCUAAGACUCGGAGACACAAAUUAGAUGAUCUUCACCGUCGCAUGUCUUGGUCUGAACGAACACAGCGCUCCAAUUCACAAGUUUGUCCAUUUUCCAGGCUGCUUUAUACAAUACUGGGAGCUUCAGAAGCUGAGUAAUUUUGGACCUGGUGGUGGAUAAAAAUCACAGUCAAGCGAUCUCUGUGUGUAAAGUUGUGAAUUGUGGAGUUUCAUCCGAGCAAAUUGCAGCAUUUUCACUUCUCCAUGCAAAUAUGUAGCGGUUUGUUGAGUGCUGUUAUUAUUAUAAAUACCGUGCAUUGCUAGCUGCAGUUUUGUUCUCUGUAUAUCAAACGUUCGAGUUGAAAUAUGAUGAAUUUCAGCACUUUUGCUCAUCUCCUGGUUAUGAUUGUUAACCCUGGUGGUAAAAGCAAUAUGUGGAUAAUAAAGUCUAAUCUUCGAGAGCAAUAUUGGCAAGGCAUUCGAAUCCUUUAUAGCUGCUUAAAAGAAUCCUGUCAACGUCUGAGGUUGUGCAAGAAAAAUGAGUAUUUAAUCUUUUCUCUCAAGUUCAUCAUUCCAUUAACAUACGCCCCAUUGGUCAUGAAGUUCACUAUAUAUUCUUUAUAUUUAAUGUAUGAACUUUGAGUUGUA